rnacentral:rRNA from 1 species
UACGGAGGGGGCUAGCGUUGUUCGGAAUUACUGGGCGUAAAGCGCACGUAGGGCGGCUUUGUAAGUUAGAGGUGAAAAGCCCCAGGGCUUAACCCUGGAAUUGCCUUUAAGACUGCAAUCGCUAGGAAUUCGUGGAGAGGUGAGUGGAAUUCCGAGUUGUAGAGGUGAAAUUCGAUAGAUAUUGGAAGAACACCAGUGGCGAAGGCGGAACUCACUGGGACACGAUUGACGCUGAGGUGCGAAAGCGGUGGGGAUCAAAACAGGG